rnacentral:lncRNA from 1 species
AGCACCACCUCGGCAUCCACAUCAACAUUAGCUGGCCACCUCACCACCACUCCAACCAAUGGAAGCACGCCAACCAGGAUGAAGUCAAGCAUAAGGAGCCGACCACAUCAUCUCAUCAAAGAAACCAAUGCAACGUCAUGCCACCUCAUCAGAAGAACCAAUCACUAUGCAACAUGCUAUGUGACACCUAUUGGGACGCCACCUCAACACCAUAUCAGCAAUCAUCUCAACCAGACGCCACCUCAACACCACAUCAGCAAUCAUCUCAACCAAGAGGAUAAUGCCAAAUGGAAGAGUCAAAAUCAAAA